AUAAUUUUUUUAACAUUAUCGACGAUAAGAAAUGGCAGCAUUUUUAACAUAAGAAUUAAGCGCACGUGAAAAUAUCCGCAAAUUUCUUCGAACUUGCGUCGAACAAGUAUCGUUCUGUUUUCAUUGAGUUUUCGGUAACGAACAGCCAAUACUUUAGGCAUAUUUAUUUUAUAAUUUAUCUGUGAACGGAUAAUCGAAGAGCUAAGAAUUAAACGAUGAAAAUUUCAACGUUAUUAUUCUUGUUCGUGCUGUUCAUCUGUGGACUUCAUGGUCUAUCCGAUGCAGCUAGUAUUCCAACAGGAAGAACAGAAAUUGGAUUCAAUGACGUUAACUUACUUUCAAGCAUCAGCAAUCUUUUCCAAUGUAACCUAUUGGAAUCGGAUGAAAUACCUUCUGCUAUCCAAAUUUCAACGAAUCCUAUAGGAAGUUUGAGAACAGCCUUUUGUUUUACACUUGAAAGAAUUAUUGAUACUAUAAAGAAGAUACGGAAUAAUAAUUCUUUGCAGUCUAUUGAAAUAAUAUUUGAUAAUAUUCUACCGACGUUAAAGGAGCUCCUGGUGAAUUUGUCUGAUAGUAAUAUUCUUCCACCACCAUCUUCUUAUUUGAUACGUAAUUUGUUAAUGUUAUACGAUGUGAGCCGUUUGAUGAGAAGCACUAUAUAAGAUUUUUUAAUCAUUAUUCUUCCUCUCUCUCUCUAUAUAUAUGUAUGUGUGUGUGUGUGUGUGUGUAUGUGUAUAUAUAUAUAUAUAUAUUUCGGCAAAAUUAUUCACGAAAGAUUAUUGUACAUAUAAAUUUCAAAUGCAUUGAUAUUGAGAAAGAUUGAACACGAUUAUUGUUUUAUGCUUUUAUAUCUUUUUUCUUUUUUCUUUUCUUAAUAAAUCUUCAGCAAAAUUUAAUACACAUACAUACAUAUAUAUAUAUGAGUAUAUUAUAUAGAGUGUUAAUUAUACUAUUAAUUGUACUUUAUUACAAUUUUACAUUAACACAGUUAUCUUCGGUCAGAGAUUUCUUUUUCUGUCGGCGAAAGUUUAACGUAAUUGAGCAAAAUUACGAAAGAAUUUCGAAAAAAAAUAUUUUUAAUGGUGACUGAUAAAUAAAUGCGGGUUGAAAGUAUUCUUGGCGCAAUAUAAGAAACCUUAUAAAGUAUAUACAUAUAGUACAUAUUAAAAGUAUCAUAUUAUACUGUACAAGAAGACAUCAGUGAUUUAAAAACCAGUCAUCAAAAUUCUAUUAAGAUUUUUGGAUCUAUUAUCAUAUAUUGUAUUUUGAAUCGUAUGUUCCUGUGCAAUUUACUAAUGAAACUUUCUAAACGAGUUGCUAUCCAAUAUGAGCUUAUAGAAAGGUUGUUAUGAUGAAAAUUAUAUUAUAGAAUUAUGUAAGACAUCUUUUUUUCAACAAACUCAUUAAGUUAGUUUUGAAAGCGUCAUAUCUAUAUACAUAGAUAUAAUUUGGAGAAAAACAAUUAUGGCGUUUUAGAAAAAUAUGACUUAACAAAAAUGAUUUUUUAUCACAAUAUAACGCAAAAUGUAUAUUUAUUGUUUACUGUUAACAAAAAAAAAAAAGAAAAAGAGAAUAGUAUGAAAUUAGAGUUACUCGUUGGCGAGUUAUUCUCAC